GUUCUCCUCCAUGUUUUUCCCGCUGGUAUUUACAGCUGCUCAACUCAGCCUCAAGUUUUGCGAUGAUCGUGCCUCUACCGUGUUGUACCCAUCAUUACACCCUCGAUGGUUAAACCAAUGCAGUCGAUCGACUAGAAACCAUGUGUCUUUGAAGAAAUCAGGAUGCCUGUUCAGACAGUAAGAGUGCAUCCUACAAGCAUUGUCGUAAAUGACCAUAGAUGGAGCUGUAAGGAUAAAUUACAUCAAGACAUAUACCAUGUUCACAGAAGAGGCAGAAAACACCAGUUGUAAAAUCCAUCUUGUAGGUCCCUCGAGAUCUUAAUGGUAGGAGUGAUGGGAAAAAGCUGUCCUUGAGAAGGUGAUUGUCCAUCAAAGAAGUGGCAGUGGUGUUUUCAGGAUAACUGUUUGCUGCUUUUUCAACUAAGGACUCUAGCAAUUCCACCAAAUGGUGGUCAGAUGGAUGGAACAUGCCACAUAUUGGACUGUCCAAAGCCAAAUUUUUUAGGAAGGGUCUGUAUGGUGGUGGUGCUAUUUCAGACCUCCCAAAUGACUGCACUAAAGCCUGGAGCUCCUUGUUGUGGUAUCCAAGGAGGUCAAACAGUUUUGUUACUUCUGCCUCUAUCAGUGGUGGUUGCUCACCAGCAUAUCGCCUCAGCAGUAACCUGGUGUAUGGAUCACUUAUCACCACUCUGUCUUUAUGGGAGCUGUUCCAAAGGUUGUUGGUCCAGGUUUUUAAAUUUUUUCUGUGGGCUAAUGUGGUGGCAUCCAUAAUCAAUCUAUCUGGUGCUGACCCACAUUGUAUACAUCUGAAUCCCUCCUCAAAAUUGAUGGUGGAGCAGAGCUUCUCCAAGAAGCCAUACCAUGCAAAUUUGAAAUGUGCAUAUGAAAAGACACUUGUAUGAGGCUCCACAAGUACUCCAGAUGGAAUUCUUUCCAAUACUGGUUUAGAAUACACAGCCAUCAAUUCAGCUUCAAACUUAAAGGGAAUACCUUUCCAAGACAAGAUUUUGAUCCAUGAGCUGGAGGAAGAAGUUGGUUUAGGCUGCAUACUAGUCAAUGCUUGGUAUGGGGAAGAAAGAGGGGGAAGAGUCUUUUUCAAAUAUUGUAAAGAACAGUAGGACUAAACUUAUUCAGGAUUAAGAAACUCACCAUCAUAUGACAUAUCAACGCUGCCAGACAAUCCGUUUAUAAAGGAUGACCGAGGGAUGUUGCAUGAACAACUCCAUGACCAACGAAAGCUACCCUGAAAGGACUUGGAACCUCUUUCAACAAAAACAAAUGUGUUUACCUGGAACAAGAAAUGGAAAAUAGAAUGCAGUCUUUUUUUGCAUCAUUUUCAUUCAUUACAAUUUUAUAGGAAAUACAUGUAAUACCUGCAGUAAUAUAUAAAUUUAUAAUCAUUUAUCACUAUAACACUAAAGGUCCUUAAUUGGUUCCUUAUCAUUGUUAAUGGGGGUGUGCUAAUAAAAUAUUUAUCUUAUAUUCUUACAAAAAAGCACAUUUCCAUCCAUUGGGCAUUUCAUUAACCUGGGACAGAUUUGCCAUAAAAAGUGUUCAAUAUCCUAUAACAAUUUGGGCAUUUUGACAUGAAACCAUGAAAAUGACUAGGAGUAAAUGUAAAAAAAAAAAAAAUUAAAGUAACUUGAAAUACUUACAUGUAAAUGAUUUUAAGUUUGGUUGAAUUUUGUAUUUGCUUGUACAUAUCUUUAAAUUUUGUCUGUUUCAAAGAGCUUGUGUACCUCAAGUUUUUUAUCUUCUUGUGCAAAUUCUCUCAAUACAAAUUUAUUGAAAUAGCUGCCAAUAGGGGUAAAUCCUUUGUAUAUCAGCAGCUGCUGCAUGUAGCUUUGAAGUGGUGUUGAAUAGCUCUGUGAAAUAGAAAAAAAAUUGAUUAGAAAAGGUUUUUUGAAAAGGGAACCGUUUUGCCAGAAUGUUCUGCAAACAUGAUAGGAUUGUAACUGAAUAAGAUAAGGAUCUUCAAAUAUAUAUUUUAAAGGAGUACGUAGCCAUUUGGCAAUGUACAUUUGAUGGUGAUCUUUAAAGGUACCAUUGUACAUAUUUGAAAGGGGCAUGGACACAGUGUGCUCUAAAUUUUUUACAAUUUGUUUUCCCAGUUAGUUUUACUGUUUACAAUGCUUAACUAUAUAUACAUGUAUAUUAAAGGUAAAAGUACUGCAAAAAUAAGAAGAAACAGAACAAAAAUUGUUUGCAUAAAUAUGUUUGAAGCAAAAUGAGAUAUGACAAACACUAGAAACUGUUUAAUUGUGAUCAGAAUUAACAUGUAAUUUGAAAAAUCAGCUUUAAAAAAAUUUCUAGUAUUUUAAAAGUUGUAUGGUCUGAAUUUCGACAAUUUUUUUCUGCCUUGUAAAAACAUUGUUAAAUCAUUGCACGUACUUAUUUAUGAGGCUUUACGGCAUGUCAUACGUUACUUCACCUGUUUUAACUAGAAUUAUGUGAUUUUAAGUCAGUGUUUACAAACAAUAUUCACUCGGCCAAUUUAAGUUGGUCACGUGACCAGUUCAGACUUUUAGAUCAUCGGUGAUCUUAUCUGUGUAAAGCUAUGUAUUUGGUUACAACAGUACCGUGCCAUAAGUUUAAGACAAAUGAAAUAUCAAAUACCUCAGUAAUUCAUUAUUUCAUGCUUUUUCAGCCAUUUAGACAGUUGUCUUUAUUAUAUUUUUAUACCUCAUGUUGGGAUUCCCAACCAUUUACUUUUUAAAUAAUCUUUUCACUGUUUUCUUUUGCAUGCAAAUGUUUUCAAGCAUUAAGGGAAAGUUAAUAACUUUAAAAUUUUAUUAAUCUGCUUUAAAGUAAUUAUGUACAAAAAGUAAUUAGAAAUAGCUUAGUUAAGCAUUGUAAACAUUAAAAAUGAAAAAGUAAAAUUUGAAAAUUUUCAGCUCGAAUUGUGUCCAUGCCCGUUUACUAACCUCAAAAGAGCUAGGUACUGUUGCAAUUUGUUCAAGUUGACAAUCUGCUGCAGCAUUGAUGUGCAUGGUGUUAUCCCCCUCAUUCUUGUUUUUGCACUCUCUCUUGGCUAUAAGUGUAUAGAAAGGUAUGAUGGGAAUGUCAUUUUAGCAUGUAAUGAAUUAAAUUCAAAAAAUGUUUCCAUCAGAAAUUCUUAUGGGAAUACAUACAUUGCCGUGGAACUCCCCUGAUUUUCCUUUUCAGUUUGGGUAUUUUAGAAAGGUCCACUUUACUCUCAUUGUUUAAUAUAACAUCCUUUGAUAAAGGACUUGCUGUAAAGAAUAGAUUUAAUUAAAAAUUUGAAAAUUUUGGUACUUUAGUCCACAUGUGGACUACAUCAUAUUUUUUAUGUCACCUGAUUCACUCAGGUGACCUAUUGCUAUUGCUCUGCGUCUGGCUUCGUCCGUUAACAACUUCAUCCCAGAAACUACUGGGCCAAUCUUGACUAAAUUUGGUAUGUAGCAUCUGUAGGUGAAGGAGACCGGAAAUUAUUGCUAUUGAAACUAAAUGGAUAUUUAGAUAGAGCAUGUAUUCCUAUACCAAAAUUGUAAAUUUGAUGAUCCCAGGUGUAGGGGUUUUGGGGCCAAUUUGGUCAGUUAUUAAAUGUGAGCAAUAUAUAUUUUUAACUUCUUCAUGAUAACUAUCAUUCCAAUUCUAUUCAAAUUUGGUAUGAAGCAUCUUUGGAACAAGGGGAUAUAAAAUGUAAAAUGGGGCCAAACUUAGUAUAUAGUAUUUAUGUAUAAGUUUGCCGAUACUGUAUGAAAACUAAAUGCAUAUUAAGAAUAGCAGAAAAGGAUGUACCAAAUAAAGUGAAUUUCACAACGCAGGAUUUCAACUAUAGGACGAGUCCAAAUUAGUCAUUUUUUAAUGCACAUAUUAUAUUAUGUAAAGCCUUUCAUCAGUGUAUACACUUUUGAGAGCAUAGCCUUAGGGAGGAGUGAUACUUUUUCACUAGUACUCGGGUGACCGAUAACACCCGUGGGCCUCUUGUCAUUCUUCCCAACAAUCAUUGUACCCGUUUUUAAAGGGGCAUGGACAGGAUGUUAGCAGAAAAAUUUCAAAUGUCAUUUUUCCAUUUGUAUUGUUUACAAUGCUUAAUUGAAGUAUUUCUAAUUGUCAACCAAGAUUUGAAUAUCAGUUGUUGAGUUACAAGUGAGAUACAGCAUUUACAAAUUUUUGUAUACAUUGAAAUUGCCCACUAGAAAAUAUGUUUAAAACAAAAUGAGAUGUGUCAAACACUAGAAACUGUUUUAUAAUUAUAUUUAGAAUUGACUUGUAAUUUGAAAAAUUUCUAUAUGGUAACUCACUACACUAAAGCUUAUACUCUGUAUAACACCACGUUACAAGAUGGCGAUUUAAAUGUUUUGUGAAAUUAUUUGUAUCGAUUGAUGUGUUUGUCUAUCAUUGUAGCUCAGUAGUUAAAGCAUUGGGCUGGUGAACUGCAGAUCUCAAGUUCAAAUCCUGCAGUCUUUUGUUCAUAUGUGUUGAAAUAAUUUUUUUGAUUUUUUUUAAAAUCCAAAUUUGAUAUAUUUUUUGUCUUUUUGGCAUAUAUACUUAUUGUAUAUCUUAUAAUUAAAUCAAUUCGUACUGAUUUGAGAAACUGUUUCUGGCUGAAGUGAGCCACCUUAAACGAAAUUUUUACUAGUAUAUUUAACCUACAUGUAUGUAGACAAACAUGGCACGAGCCUGGUUUACUUAACAAAGAAUUGUGAGCUCUGUAUCUCCCAUGUACCUCGAGAACUGACAUUCAAAUAUUUGCUGACCAUUAGAAAUAACUUAUUGCAACAUUCUAUACAUUAAAACUGAAAAAACAAAUUUUGUAAUUUUUUAUCUAAAAUUGUGUCCAUGCCCCAUUAACAUAUGUGGGUGAAGGGAAUUUAUGUUUGUUGAAAUGAAGGUUAAUUGUUUAAAGAUAUGGAUGAUUGGGUUAAUAUAGAGUCUGUACAUUUUUUGGUUCACCUGAGCUGAAGGUAUGUUGAAGCCACAAUUGGGGAUCAAUGCGAAUAUGUAAAGAAAAUCUUUUUCUCAAGAAUCACUGGGCUAGAAUAUGAAAGCAGAGUAGAUUAAAAUUUGUUCAGAUCAUGGCCCCUUGGGGGUAAGGUGGUGUAGCAAUAGGGGAUCAAAGUUUUACAUGCCAAUAUAGAGGAAAUCUUCUCCAGAACCACUGGGCAUAUGUUAAUUAAUGAAUUUGUUGUCAGGUUUAAUAAUUAAGUUUGAUAAUUAAUGAAUUUUCAGUUGUUUGAAAAGUUAUUCCUGAACCAAGCUGCCUGUACUGUAUAAUGGUAGUUUUGCUCAAGCUUGUUUAUUGCUAGGGACUGCUGCUCAGGUGAACGAUAUUUUGUAUAGGCUGUUGUGUGUGUUUGUAGAAAAUAGGCUGUAUUUGUUUGACUUAACUGUUAUUUGGUUUAGAUGAUACGUGUAUUUGUGUUGUAUAGAUAUAUGUAUAUCGUCAAGAUAAAUUGAUUUCAUAUUCACCUUGGCCACUACUACAUAAAAGCGAUGGAUUUUAUAUAAAAUCUCUGAUUAGUUCAUUUAAACAUUAUUGUCAAUAUGGUUAGUAAUUGAAUUAUUAUUGUAUCGAAUUCAUUAUAAGAUCCACCUUGCACUUUUAUGUCCUUUUUAGGACAUACAUGUAUGCAAUUCUCUUUACAAAUGAUUCAGAAAACAAAAGUAUUGGGAUAUUAUGUGAAUAUUUGUUUUAUUUGCAACCAAAGUACUUUUUUAUUCUUAGACUUUCAAUUAUUUUAAUUUUGAAUGUUGGCAGGGUUUUUUAGCUUGCAUAAGCCCUCAGUGAAUUUUGUAUGUUGUCUUCUCUUUAUCCACUUUUCACAUCUUCUUCAGAACCACUUUGCCAAUUUCACUUUGCUCAUUACAGUAAAAUAUUAAUUACUGGCUUGUUUAAGCACUUCAUAUGAAGCAUGAUUUCACCAUCGAAAGAGUGACACAAGAUCCUAAUUAUUUUAUAUGAAUUUUUAUUUUCCCCCAGAAUGAUAAAAAAAGGUGUUUUGUUUGCAAAUAAGAUGUUCUAAAGUCCAAAUUUCUAAGUGAUUUGAUGCUAAUUGUUUGCAUUUUUCAUCAAGAAAUUAGUUUUCUUUAUAAAUUCAUUUAAUUUGUAAACCUACAUCAACAAAAUGCAGUUUUCUGAUUACAAUGUUCUCGAUGACAAUUUUUUUUUAAAAUUCCGAUUGGGCUUGGUUCAAAAUUGAAAAUUUUUUCGCUUGGGGCUAGCUGUAAUUGAGGCUAUAUAUACUUUUUGGUUAACUUUAUUGUUAUUUAAUAUUUAUUUGUAUGUUAGAUAUUCAGAGGAAAUUUAUUGUCAAUGAUUUGUUGGAAAAUUUAUCCUUGGAAACAUGACCAUUGAAAAUUAAAUUAAUUAUUGAGUA